GAUGAACGCUGGCGGCGUGCCUAAUACAUGCAAGUCGAGCGAACGGACGAGAAGCUUGCUUCUCUGAUGAUAGCGGCGGACGGGUGAGUAACACGUGGAUAACCUACCUAUAAGACUGGGAUAACUUCGGGAAACCGGAGCUAAUACCGGAUAAUAUUUUGAACCGCAUGGUUCAAAAGUGAAAGACGGUCUUGCUGUCACUUAUAGAUGGAUCCGCGCUGCAUUAGCUAGUUGGUAAGGUAACGGCUUACCAAGGCAACGAUGCAUAGCCGACCUGAGAGGGUGAUCGGCCACACUGGAACGGAGACACGGUCCAGACUACUACGGGAGGCAGCAGUAGGGAAUCUUACGCAAUGGGCGAAAGCCUGACGGAGCAACGCCGCGUGAGUGAUGAAGGUCUUCGGAUCGUAAAACUCUGUUAUUAGGGAAGAACUUAUGUGUAAGUAACUGUGCACAUCUUGACGGUACCUAAUCAGAAAGCCACGGCUAACUACGUG
rnacentral:rRNA from 1 species